UACGUAGGGGGCGAGCGUUGUCCGGAAUCAUUGGGCGUAAAGCGCGUGUAGGCGGCCCGGUAAGUCCGCUGUGAAAGUCCAGGGCUCAACCCUGGGAUGCCGGUGGAUACUGUCGGGCUCGAGUCCGGAAGAGGCGAGUGGAAUUCCUGGUGUAGCGGUGAAAUGCGCAGAUAUCAGGAGGAACACCAAUGGCGAAGGCAACUCGCUGGGACGUUACUGACGCUAAGGCGCGAAAGCGUGGGGAGCGAACAGG
rnacentral:rRNA from 1 species